rnacentral:rRNA from 1 species
AGGCUCAGGAUGAACGCUAGCUACAGGCUUAACACAUGCAAGUCGAGGGGCAGCAUGACGAUAGCUUGCUAUGUUGAUGGCGACCGGCGCACGGGUGAGUAACGCGUAUCCAACCUUCCCUAUAGUAGAGGAUAGCCCGGCGAAAGUCGGAUUAAUACUCUAUGUUUUCCAAUGCAGACAUCUAAAAUGGAACAAAGGCUUGCCGCUAUAGGAUGGGGAUGCGUCUGAUUAGAUAGUAGGCGGGGUAACGGCCCACCUAGUCAACGAUCAGUAGGGGUUCUGAGAGGAAGGUCCCCACAUUGGUACUGAGACACGGACCAAACUCCUACGGGAGGCAGCAGUGAGGAAUAUUGGUCAAUGGACGAGAGUCUGAACCAGCCAAGUAGCGUGCAGGAAUGACUGCCCUAUGGGUUGUAAACUGCUUUUAUGCGGGAAUAAAGUCAGGUACGUGUACCUGUUUGUAUGUACCGCAUGAAUAAGGACCGGCUAAUUCCGUGCCAGCAGCCGC